UCUUUUUCCACCGGAGCUUGCUCCACCGGAAAAAGAGGAGUGGCGAACGGGUGAGUAACACGUGGGUAACCUGCCCAUCAGAAGGGGAUAACACUUGGAAACAGGUGCUAAUACCGUAUAACAAUCNAAACCGCAUGGUUUUGAUUUGAAAGGCGCUUUCGGGUGUCGCUGAUGGAUGGACCCGCGGUGCAUUAGCUAGUUGGUGAGGUAACGGCUCACCAAGGCCACGAUGCAUAGCCGACCUGAGAGGGUGAUCGGCCACAUUGGGACUGAGACACGGCCCAAACUCCUACGGGAGGCAGCAGUAGGGAAUCUUCGGCAAUGGACGAAAGUCUGACCGAGCAACGCCGCGUGAGUGAAGAAGGUUUUCGGAUCGUAAAACUCUGUUGUUAGAGAAGAACAAGGAUGAGAGUAACUGUUCAUCCCUUGACGGUAUCUAACCAGAAAGCCACGGCUAACUACGUGCCAGCAGCCGCGGUAAUACGUAGGUGGCAAGCGUUGUCCGGAUUUAUUGGGCGUAAAGCGAGCGCAGGCGGUUUCUUAAGUCUGAUGUGAAAGCCCCCGGCUCAACCGGGGAGGGUCAUUGGAAACUGGGAGACUUGAGUGCAGAAGAGGAGAGUGGAAUUCCAUGUGUAGCGGUGAAAUGCGUAGAUAUAUGGAGGAACACCAGUGGCGAAGGCGGCUCUCUGGUCUGUAACUGACGCUGAGGCUCGAAAGCGUGGGGAGCAAACAGGAUUAGAUACCCUGGUAGUCCACGCCGUAAACGAUGAGUGCUAAGUGUUGGAGGGUUUCCGCCCUUCAGUGCUGCAGCUAACGCAUUAAGCACUCCGCCUGGGG
rnacentral:rRNA from 1 species